AAUCAACGCUGGCGGCGUGCCUAACACAUGCAAGUCGAACGCGAAAGUCCCGCAAGGGAUUAGUAGAGUGGCAAACGGGUGAGUAACACGUGGGUGACCUGCCUUCGAGUGGGGGAUAACGUCCCGAAAGGGACGCUAAUACCGCAUAACAUCCUGCCUUUUAAGAGGUGGAGAUCAAAGCUGGGGACCGUAAGGCCUGGCGCUGGAAGAGGGGCCCGCGUCUGAUUAGCUAGUUGGUGAGGAACGGCUCACCAAGGCAACGAUCAGUAUCCGGCCUGAGAGGGGCGGACGGACACACUGGGACUGAGACACGGCCCAGACUCCUACGGGAGGCAGCAGUGGGGAAUUGUUCGCAAUGGGCGCAAGCCUGACGACGCAACGCCGCGUGGAGGAUGAAGACCU
rnacentral:rRNA from 1 species